AUUUUUUUAUUGUUUCUUAAGCAUGAUGAGUGGGUUUUCACGUUCAUGUGUGAGGUGUGCCUCCCUCAAACCUUGUUAUGAUGUCAACACAUUGCCUAUCUGAUG
rfam:Pongo abelii chromosome 3.